rnacentral:rRNA from 1 species
UACGUAGGGACCGAGCGUUGUCCGGAAUCAUUGGGCGUAAAGAGCGUGUAGGCGGCCUUUUAAGUCCUGCGUGAAAUCCUGCGGCUCAACCGCAGACGGUCGUGGGAAACUGGAAGGCUAGAGUGCGGGAGAGGAGAGUGGAAUUCCCGGUGUAGCGGUGAAAUGCGCAGAUAUCGGGAAGAACACCCGUGGCGAAGGCGGCUCUCUGGAACGGCAUUGACGCUGAUGAGCGAAAGCCAGGGGAGCAAACGGG